AAAAAAAUGCUAUUAUAUUCGACUACCUGAGGCAUGGGACAUUCCGACGAACAAUAAACCACUGUCCCCGCCCCUUUACAGUUGCGCGUUGCCUUGUAAAUUCAGUCGAAACUUGAUUAUUGAACUUUGUGUACGUAUUCAGUUAUUGACGAUUUUAAGACAGCGUUGACUUUGUGAGUUAAACUGCAGUUUUCUGUGUUAACCUGGUGCAAGGAAGCAAUGGACUCGGAGACUACAGAUUCAGCGGGUGCCUCUGGAGUGAGAAUAGUGACUCGUAAAUCACUCUUCGAUAUGACGAAGAAAGAAAAUUUACGCAGUU
rnacentral:misc_RNA from 1 species